GGGUGUGUUUGGUUUGGAAGAGAAGUUGAGAAGAGAGAAGUAGGUAAGAGAGAGUAUGAGAAGAGAGAAAAAGUUGAGAAAUAGAGUAGAUUUGAUAUAUUGUUUGGUAUAAAAAGAAAGAGAGAAGAGAGAAGUAUAAUUGUAUUUUAAAUUGACAAUAGUAUCCUUUAACUUGUAAAACAAAACAAUUUUAUAUUAUUUAAUUUUUGUCUUAUA
rnacentral:lncRNA from 1 species